GGUUUCGUGGUGUAGUGGUUAUCACAUUCCCUUUACAUUAAGAGUUGCGGGAAAGGUCGCCGGUUCGAUCCCGGCCGAAAUCA